UACGAAGGGUGCAAGCGUUGUUCGGAAUUAUUGGGCGUAAAGCGCACGUAGGCGGCUUGGCAAGUCGGAUGUGAAAUCCCUCGGCUCAACCAAGGAAGUGCAUCCGAAACUGCUAAGCUUGAGUACUUAAGAGGAACGCGGAAUUCCCGGUGUAGAGGUGAAAUUCGUAGAUAUCGGGAGGAACACCAGUGGCGAAGGCGGCGAUCUGGGAAGAUACUGACGCUGAGGUGCGAAAGCGUGGGGAGCAAACAGG
rnacentral:rRNA from 1 species